GACUUCAUGAAGCUGGAAUUGCUGUAAUGGCAGGUCAGCAUACUGCCGUGAAUACGUUCCCGGGCCCUUGUACACACCGCCCGUCACACCAUGAGAGUUGGGAAUACCCGAAGCCUGUGAGCUAACUUUUAGAGGCAGCAGUCGAAGGUAGAAUCAAUGAUUGGGGUGAAGUCGUAACAAGGUACC
rnacentral:rRNA from 1 species